GCUUUCUGUAUCUAUGAGAAUGUAGGGUGCUUUACUUCACCCUAGUUUUGACAGAACACUGGAGUGAAACCAGAUCAAGAGGACAAUAACUAACGAGAACAACUUUAAAAAGUGGACUCUGCCUUGACAUGAACAAUCAGAAGGUCCUCACAACAAUUUAGCAUCCCAAGCUACGAACCUGCUGGCCUGUUUGAAUUUCAUGGCGUGGUUCCAGAGGACAAUCCCCUGUUUGCUGCCUAUGCUGGAAGUACAUCCUCCAUCUGCAGAUCUUUGGAAACACUCUACCCGCUGUGUCUCAAUGCCCCUGUGGCCAAGCUAUUGUGUUGAGCAAAGAGAUGGACCAUGCCAUAGUCUGUAAUGCUGCAGGGAGACAGCAUCCCCAUGCCAAGUCUCAGAGGCUGAAGAAAAAGUCCUCUGCAUGCUAGGGGUCCAACUCCUGUUAAUCAGGAGUAAUAAAGAAAUAGACUUUGAUCUGAGGUAAUGUAAU
rnacentral:lncRNA from 1 species